UAGGGCAUGGGCAGCUGAGCUGCUGGGUUAGGCCUGAAAGCCCCUGGCAUAUGGGGAGGCUGGCCUCUAUUUAACCCUUCCCCAGCUAGCGUUCAUGCUGAAAGGGGUGCACUUGCCAUUACUGGUGAGGAGAAACAGAUUCUCUGCACUUAGCUGAAGCCCUUUUAAGCCACUCUGAAUAGGAUCCACUAAAAGAUCCUAAAUUAAUUCAGGCAGCAGCCUCUGUAUGAAAAGUUCGACUAAUGAGGGCGGGCGUCGUGUCCAGGGGGUGGGAGGAGGAUGAGCAGUGCCCAGCACAAUGCUCCUCGCUGUCAUAUCCUGCACAGACGGAAUUUGUAUUUAUUUUUCUCCUUUUUCUUUAGGGGAUGACACAAAGGAGGAGAAAAUAACUCCUAGAAUGUUGCAGCUGUGCAAGCAGCGCCCGCCCUGAUUUGUCUGAGCAAGGCCCCAGCGACGUGAGGGGAGGCUCCCAGCCACUGGCAAAUUGUAUUACAGGGGAAGAAAGCCUCCAGCCUCGCUUAUUUGAUGCCGGCUUAUUCAUAGAGUGGCAUUAGUCCUGCUGCCUGCUGCUUUGUUGGCUGAUGGGGAGGAGGCCCAGGCAGCCUCCCCAGUAGGGUGGUGGAGGCCUCAUCGUGGCCCUGCCUCAAGGGUCAGGGGUCACCCGCAGCCUCCUGACAACCCCAGCUCCACAUCUGCUGUGUGGUGAUGUUAACGCAGCCCCUGCGUGCCCUACAUUUGUAAUUAGCCUCCCUGGGGGAUGGGGAGAGGGGCAGCUGAAAGCGGACGAAGAUACAUUAUGGGCAGUGCAAGGGUGGGGGCUUCUUUCCUUUGCUGACCACAUCAGCCUCCCCCAGGAUCUGGGUAAGAGAUGGAAUGCUUCAUCAGGUGAUUUGGGGGGCACUGGCAUUUCUGCAGAGGAAAGCGUGAACAAGAGCUCUGUUGCACAAGUCGGAGUAAGUGUGAUAGUUCACAGGUUUGGAGGCAGGCUCUGUGCUACGUUCCGCCGUUCUGCGUUGCUCCUGCACAGUGCCCUCCAGCUCCUCUGCUCUGCGAGAUGCUCAGAGCUCUGCCACUCGUCUGUGCUGCCACAAGAACAUAAAUCAUAGGAAUUACUGGUUGGAGAUGGCAAACUUGUCCUCUGCGAGAGUUAACAUAUCCUCUUGGAUUCAGGGGAUGCAAUUACAGAGCUACAUAUAGCGAUGAGGGCUGGUGGUUCAUGUUGGAAAUGGGGCAAACCGUAAUAACAGGACUGAAUUCAAGAAAAUUGCUGUUUUUUGAUUUAUGAAAGAGAGAACAGCAUUCCUAGUCUGUUACUCACUUCAGGGAUCCUGAGGCUUUUAUCAUAUUCUGUAGGGUCUUUGAGGAAUUACAGAAGUUUUCCAAUAUAUCAAAGAUUAUUCUCCUUCUUUAAAUAGAAUCAAAAAAUAAAUAAAAUCCAGCUGUACCUGCUCACACCAGAAACUGGGGACAUGCUGAGAUGGUCUCUGCUGCUAUUUACGUGCACCAAUCCUGACCCAGGGGGAGUGCGAACAGCACCUGGCAGGAGAAGCUGUGGUACAUCCGCCCCUCCUUAUUACUGAUCCUGUGGACAAAAGGAUGCUGCCAUUAACUUCUACAGCCUCACAGCCUCCAGCUCAGGGACUGCAAUCAGGGGAGAGGUUUGUUGCGGAAGGACCAGCCCUCCUGGGGCCUCAGGCACAUGAGUGCCAUCUCUUUCUCUACCUACAGUACACAGCACCUUAUGGCCAUUGCCUGGCAUGAUGCUGGAUCACCACGGAGGGAUCCAGUAGUUCUCCAGCAGGGGAAGAGAUGAAUUCUCUGACAGAAAUAAUAUGGGAGAUUUCUAGGACAGAAGAAUCCCUGCUGUGAACUCAUUUGGUCACAGGAUAUCAUAUAUUUUUAAGUGAAUCCCAGGCAAGGUUCCAGACUAGGUGUCACCACCCACCAACUGAGCAAUGCUCUGAGCUGCUGCAGGACCAUGUCCCCCAUAGUACUGAAUGCUUUGAUAGCCACAGUCCUUCAGGGCCAAGUAGUGCAUCUAAACCACCCACUGAAAAAGUGAAAUCCCACCAUAUCUGUUUGUUCCUCUCUCAGUUUCCUUUUGAUGGCACGAAGGCAUCACUGCAGGGGCCUGUCAUGUCGUUGCUCUUUUUUAUUCUAAGGGAAUUUACAUAGUGAAGUAGGAUCUAUAUGUGAAUAUAUUUAUCUGUUCCUUCAUCUUGUGGCAGUCACCUGUGGUCACAACCCUAUGUAGUACUACAGCUGGUGGCUGCUUUGUCACAAAACAGAGAAGUGAAGUGCCGAGCUGGAGACUUUACAGUGGGAAGAGCUGAGUGCUAUAGAAACCUGAGUCCAGAUUUGAGAUUAAUAUUGCUAUACAUAAAACAAACAUAUCCUGAACAGUAACAUGGAAUGUUAUCCCAGGAAGCCACCCUAUGCAGGUGCUAUCUGUGGUGAUUCCUUGUCACACUGCAGACAGGAUACCCGUGGCUGUUAGCACAGCAGUCAGUCUAGGCAGGACAUCGUGCACUGUCCUGCAUUUCUCCUGAAGCCACUACUCCUGUCACUUCCCCAACAGCACCUGUCCAGAGCCCGUGACAAGACAGUCAGGCUUGGAGCCAGGGGUACAGAUGAAUCAAACUUUUGCAGACGUGCAAGUCUAAAUCAGAAUCAUCUUGUAUUCUACGUGCAGCGGUGAGCAAGAGUCUGGGGAGGGAGAGGAGCACCCACUGUGGGAGUCACUCCUACCACUGGGAGAAGCCAGCAAGUCUUUUCAGAGAGGUUUCAAUUGCGAACUAUGUAUAUUGAUUUCUAUUAUUUCUGAAGCUAUCAGAGGUUGCCAAUUAAUUUCAGCAUGCUGGGCUUUUUUUCUGGGGGCAGGUAAAUACUGGGAAGCUCUGACAAGCUGCCCUUUUAGGUGUCAUUCAACCUGCAUCAGCACAUUAUAUAUGGAUAGCACUACGUAAACUCCGCUGAGUCAAACCAAGGAUUGUAUUUGGUCUCUGACAAGUCUGUCUCAUUUUCUAACUUGGUGACAUGAGCUAUGCUGAUGCACAAGUGGGUAGCAAAUAUGGUGAGUAUAUAAACAAAAUAGGCAAUGAGUCAGAUCUAGCAUUCAGUCCCUGGAAGGAUGCCACAUAUUCUCAGGAUUUUGCUGUGGAGAUCAGCAAGUUUUGGUGUGUCCUGUGCUGAGUUAGAGAUUGAAAAGCAGAAGAGCUGGAGUCUUGCAUGUUGGUCAAAAAAACAGAAGGCUCAGUCCGCUACAAUCACUAGAGAAAGGUUCUGCCCAGUGUACGGAAUGAAGGACAAGAAAUACAUCACCUUCUCAAAAUUUAAUAAGGACUUUUUCUUCUUCCUCCCACAAAAUGCCCUUUGUGGGACAUGCAAUCACGAGUCACACUAAUUGGCUUUGUCUCGAGGACAAAGAUUUCCUUUCUGGAUUCAAUCAGCAAGUAUACUUCUGCAUCUGCCUCUCUAAUUUGGAUAAGCGACCCUCCUCUUGUCUCCACUUAUCAAAGCUAUAAGUUCUUCUACACAGCCUUGAGGUUUUUAACAGCUUUUAGAGACUCUGUUCACAAGGAGAAGUAAUGUCACAGGGUAUUUAAAUUAAUUGGAGAUAAUAGCCCAGAAAGAGCUGAGGCUGGAC